rnacentral:lncRNA from 10 species
UUGCUAUUGUUUUCUGCUUGACAUGAUGCUACUAAUCUCUUCUGGGACUGCUUCUGAAACCAAAAGCUGAGAAAAGAGACCAGGCUGCUGAUUCCUUCAUGCUCCCCUUGGUUUCAUCUUGUUGAUUCAACUGGCUCAUGGUUUGUACCGGGGGAACCAAGCCCAUGGUUGGGAUCCAGGGGUCCCUCCAGUCUCCUGUUCCAUGGUCGCACACACCUUGAGGGCACCCACACGGUUUGAUCGUCUCCUUAUAUUGCUGCUGGCAGACUCGUGACGGGGUUUCUCAUUCAUCUGAAGAGAAAGUCAGAGAGAAUCAAAGCAUGUGAAGAGAGACCUCACGCAAGGAGGUCUAGGAGCCUAGAGUGAUCUUCAGCCAACAGUCAAAAAGAUAACUGGGACAACCACAAGGAACUGACUUCUAUAAGAGAAAUGAGCCUGGAAAAGGACUCCAAGCUUCAGAUGAAAAUGUAGUUGGCUGACACUUUGAUUUUAGUCUUGUGAAACCCUAAGCAGAGAAUCCAAGUAAGUCCCCCUGAACUUCUCACCUAAAGAACAAUGAGUUAAUAAAUAAGGGGUAUGAUAAGUCAUGAAAUAUGUGGUAAUUUAUUACAAAACAAUAUAUAAUGAUACAGAUACCUAUCUGGUAGCCAGAUAUUAUCCUAAGUAUUUUCCACAAGACAUUUAAUUUGAUUUAAUUAACACGCAACUCCAUAAGAGACAGAUCCUUUUAACUAUUUUGCAGGUGGUAAACUGAGGCUCAAGUAAUUUAUGUGAUUUGUCUAAGGUCCCAUAGGCUAUAAGUGUCAGAGCCCAGAUUGAGAAGUGUUUGGCUGUUCAUGCAAGUGCAAGCAGCUUUCAUUAAACUAUUCGCAGAAGUCUGUCAGAAUAGCUAGCAAGGAUACCAACUAUCUAGGGAAAGUCACACCAAAGGAGUGACCCAAAGAAACACAUUUUAACCUGAACUGCCUGGUAAUACACUGAAGGCAAAUCAGCCCCAAAGACUAAAAUUGUUAAUUUUCUGUGAUUCCUCGCUGUUUUAUUUAAUAUAAUAUGACCUUAACCUAGUCUUGAUAUUUGAUUUCUGAACAAUGAGUCAAGAGAGUUGCCUUCUCUAUGUAGUAGUACUUUACUGUUGUCAAAGACUUGUCCUUUGGUGCUUCAUAUUUUGCUUUACCUACAUGGAACAUUGCUAAUUUAGGUGAUAGCCUAACUAUUUAUAGUUAAAUACACCCACCAAGUUCCCUUUACCCUUCAAAUUAACUAAAAAGAAACAACUUCCUACUUCUUACACCACAUAAAAUUCAUAUUUUGCUUUAAAUGUAAUUUUUCAGCAAAGAGCCUAGUGGAGUUCACUUAAAACUAACCAAAUCAGCUGUUAAAAUUGUCCAUUUGAUCACAUGGGUUAUAGGCAUAGUUAUUUGACUGAGUUAUGACAAUGCUCAGAAACAGAAAAGACAGUCAAAGGUUAUCAUGUAAGUUCAAUAAAAAUUCAACAGUUGUUUUUAAAGAUUUUCAUAUGAUAAUAUUGUUUCACUUUCUAUUACCCAUAUUUGAUUUCAUUUACAAAUAAAAUACUACCCACUCUAUGAAUCAUGCUUUUAUCUCAAAUAUAUCUAGAGUGAAUCUCUAUGAUUUUUAGAAUACAGAAAUAUACAUUUUAAAAAGAUUUUAACAUUUAUUGUAAAUAAUUUAAGACAACUUUUAGAUAUAUCACGUGAGUGUUUAACUCAAUUUUCAUGACCCAGCUGGCCCAAAUUAGUCUUUUUUAUAAAUUGUUUUUUGAGUUGAAAUUAUUCUUUCACACCUAAAGAACUCUAUCUGAUGCUCUAGAGAGAAAUAUUCAAUUGAACUUCACAAUGUAGAACAUUUCCUGCAUUCUCCAUUGUAGACUGUGAUGAAUAAAUCAAUAUGUGCUUACUAAAAACAAAUGAUACAAUUUAAGGAAAUAUAUUAUUUUGAGUCCUGAUUCAAAGAAAAUAACCAAAUAUUUAAAAUUUAUUUAAAAUUUGUACUGUUUAUUUAUAUAAUUAUAACAUCUUCAAAAUCAAUAAUGAUUUUCUUCAUUUAGUAUUUAAACAUAACUAUUUUCUCAUAGUACUAGAGUCGCCAUAAGCAUCACUCUAUGGCUAUAUAAUUUCUGACAUGUGCUUUUAUUGGAAUUCAUUAAUAAUUUCAUUAUUUUUAGGUAUUUAGAUCAUGGCCCACUUUCCCCUACAACCACGAUACCUGUUUAAAUUGACAAAUCAUAGUUGUAUGGAUUUACGGGGCAAAAUGUGAUGUUUUGAUAUACGUAUAUGAUACAGUUUGAUUAAAUCAAGCUGCUUUAACAUAUCCAUCAUCCUGCUUACCUAUCAUUUUUAAUAAUGAGAUAUUUGAAAUGUAUUCUCUUAGUUAUUUUCAAAUACAUAAUACAUUAUUAUUGACUGUAGUCAUCCUGGUGUGCAAUGAAUCUCAAGAUGAAUAUUUCCAUGAACAUUAAAAAAAAUUCUUCCAUUUUGAAAU